CACGUAGGGGCCAAGCGUUGUCCGGAUUUAUUGGGCGUAAAGAGCUCGUAGGCGGUGUGUCGCGUCGGCCGUGAAAACCUGGGGCUCAACUCUGGGCGUGCGGUCGAUACGGGCAUCACUUGAGUUCGGCAGGGGAGACUGGAAUUCCUGGUGUAGCGGUGGAAUGCGCAGAUAUCAGGAGGAACACCGGUGGCGAAGGCGGGUCUCUGGGCAGUAACUGACGCUGAGGAGCGAAAGCGUGGGGAGCGAACAGG
rnacentral:rRNA from 1 species